rnacentral:rRNA from 1 species
CCUACGGGAGGCAGCAGUCGAGAAUCAUUCACAAUGGGGGAAACCCUGAUGGUGCGACGCCGCGUGGGGGAAUGAAGGUCUUCGGAUUGUAAACCCCUGUCAUGUGGGAGCAAAUUAAAAAGAUAGUACCACAAGAGGAAGAGACGGCUAACUCUGUGCCAGCAGCCGCGGUAAUACAGAGGUCUCAAGCGUUGUUCGGAAUCACUGGGCGUAAAGCGUGCGUAGGCUGUUUCGUAAGUCGGGUGUGAAAGGCGCGGGCUCAACCCGCGGAAGGCACAUGAUACUGCGAGACUAGAGUAAGGGAGGGGGAACCGGAAUUCGCGGUGUAGCAGUGAAAUGCGUAGAUAUCGAGAGGAACACUCGUGGCGAAGGCGGGUUCCUGGACAUUAACUGACGCUGAGGCACGAAGGCCAGGGGAGCGAAAGGGAUUAGAUACCCGAGUAGUC